rnacentral:lncRNA from 1 species
GAGCGGGACCCGGAAGUGGGGGGCUGCGGCGGGAGGUGAGGGCCGCCUGCCUGGCCGGACCCCAGGGGUGUCGGACGGUGGGCAGGGCCUCCUGGGAUCCCUGAGGCGCCGGCAGGAGGAGACGCCCUGGGGUCGGUGCCGCCACCUUCCCGUCCGGGCGGUUACAGCUUUCCCGCGUUCGCUGUCAGAGGCAGGGACCGGCGACCUCGGGGGCCUGGUCCCUGAGCCACAGCAGGGAGUCGUCCGAGCAUCUCGGGAUGAGGAAGAUCAAGUUGAAUCAAAAAAGAGGAAAGAAAGCCCAUCGCGUGUGACAGACAAGAAAGUGCUACCGUUAAAAGGCAAACAGUUCUAGAGUGUGCAAACAUUUGCAGUCCCUCUGCUGAUGAUCCUGGGUUUGGUUUGGCUGGGCUUGAGCAAAUGAGAAGGAACCAGGACGCCUCCAGCAGCAGCCGCCUUAUAGACACUGCUUAGCCCGGUCCUGCACUUGCUCAGGUCCGGUCUCUGUAACAGAACACACGCGCAUCUCGUGAUGGUGCUUCUCUGAUGGAGCCUUAGCCGAUGCGCAGAAGUAGACAACUGUGUUGGGGCGGAGGAGGUGCCCUGAACUCCAGCUCAGCCCUCCUCCUCCCAAGCCCUUCCAUCCUAGGAUCAACAGGAGCCUGUGACUGACUACAGCAGGAGAGCAGGCGUGGCAUGGAUCCCGUGCAAGCCGGCAGUGGAGACCCAGCGCCUGAGAGUGACGUGGGGAACUAGCAGGAGCUAGAAGUGACUUAGGCCGAGCUUUUGUAAAGCGGAGGUGUGAGUGUAAUAUCAGGAUGAUUUGACUGCAAGCAACAGAGAAUCAAACAGAAAUGGCCUAGGGAGUCCCUUCGUGGCUCCCCAGUUAACAAUCUGACUGGAUCAUGAGGAUGCAGGUUCAAUCCCCGGCCUCUAUCAGUGGGCGAAGGAUCUAGUGCUACCAUGAGCUGUGCUGUGGUGUAGGCUGGCGGCCGCAGCUCCAGUUGGACCCCUAGCCCGGGAACUUCCAUAUGCUGUGGGUGCAGCCCUAAAAAGCAAAAACAAACAAAAAAAAUGAAACAAAACAAAACAAAAAAUCCACAAAAAAAAUCAGAAAUGGCCUAAACAAAGAAGAAAACAUGUUAUCCCAUACUACAAGAAGUUUGGGGGUUGAGUGGUUAAACGCAUGAUUAGUUUAGAAACUUGACAGCACCACCCAGGACCCAUUUUCCCUAAGGCGCUGCUGCCCCCCACCCUGUAGGCUUAGCCACCGCAGCAAAGACACCCCCCUUCCCCAACCAGAGCCCUGCGUCAGGACUGGAAAGGGCCUCCUUCCUUCCAUCCCCUUCCAGAACCUCCGCAGAAGACUCCCCUUGACGUCUCAUUCCAUCCCAUACUGGUCACUUGGCAGGGGGAACGGAUUUACCACGGUGGCCAGAGACAAAUUAAGUCGCCUCUGGAUCAUGAAGAGCCCCCAUCUCUGGAGAACACUUGACCACUCAGUACCCAGCAACUCGGGUACCCCUGGCAAGAAAGAGACAGGUGAUACCCACUGGGUCCUGUCCACAGCGCCUGCCCCCAGCAACCUGUCUACCUGGAAAACUGAGGGGGUGCCACGCGGGUCUGUGUCUUCUCUGUAGUUUGCCCGAGUCUUUCCCAUUAGGUAAGUGUCGCCCUUUUCCCUCUUUGCGGCUUUCCUCCUUGGCACGUCACCCAGGUUUUGUUCAGCCACAAGGGGCGAUAGGCUGAAAGAGGAAUCUCCAGGCCUAGGUGAUGGGCCAGCCGUGGUGAUCCUCACCCGUUUGCCUGGGCACCGUUUGGGAAACGUCCCCCUGCUCACCACGGAGAUGAAAGACCAGGUCCCUGGAGGGGCUUCGCGGAAGGAUUUUUCUCCCCAGUAAAGCGGCAGACCAGCCAAGGGUCCGCCGCCCUACGCGCCGUCUGCCUCUGAGCCGCCGCCAGCUCACACCCUUGAGCAGAAACGUUGCAGGGAGGCAGAAAGGGCCGAGUCUCAUGGAUUGUGCUGAGCGUUGCAUCCACCCAGGACUGCUUACCUUCAGACUUCUGCUCCGGUGGCAGAGCAGCAAACCCCUAUUGUGUAAGCCUUUGUAGAUGGCUGGUGCCACUUGCUGCUGAAAGUGACAGAUAAUCUUUCUAGGAAUAUAACCCCUAAAGCCCUUUAUGGUAACAGAUGCACUUAGAGAAUGUAGUUUUCUUUCUUUUUCUUACUUAAAAAAAAAAAAA